UAUCUCUGUAGAGUCUGCAUAUCAAUAAGCGGAGGAAAAGAAACUAACAAGGAUUCCCCUAGUAACGGCGAGUGAAGCGGGAAGAGCUCAAAUUUGAAAUCUUCAAGGUUUGACCUUGACGAAUUGUAGUUUAAAGAAGUGUUUUCGGUUAGAGGGAGUAGUAAAAGUUCUUUGGAAUAGGACAUCAUAGAGGGUGAGAAUCCCGUAUUUGACUAUUCUUUCUAGCUUCGUGAUACACUUUCAAAGAGUCGGAUUGUUUGGGAAUGCAGUCCAAAAUGGGUGGUAAAUUUCAUCUAAAGCUAAAUAUUGGCGAGAGACCGAUAGCGAACAAGUACCGUGAGGGAAAGAUGAAAAGAACUUUGAAAAGAGAGUUAAACAGUACGUGAAAUUGUCAAAAGGGAAGCGUUUGACACCAGUGUUGUUUUUCCGAAAAUCAAUUAAAAAUAUGAUUCAUGUCCAGGUUAGUAUUGACCUUAUCAGCUUGCAUGCUUAGUUUUGGGUCAUCUUUUCGAUGCACUUUUCGGUUAACAAGUCAACAUCAAUUUCCUUUUGCUGUAAAAAGGUAAGAGGAAGGUGGCUUCAAUUUCGGUUGAAGUGUUUAUAGCCUUUUAUCUCUGCAGUCGGGGAGAUUGAGGUCUGCAGCGUAGAUCCUUCGGGGCUAGAUACAUUUAUGCUAAGUUAUAGCUUUUCAUAGACAACUUGUUGACUAUGUUUAGUCAUGUAGCUUACUCGUAAGUGCUAUUUUACCUACGCUUAGGAUGUUGAGCGCAUGUCUCUCUCU
rnacentral:rRNA from 1 species